rnacentral:rRNA from 1 species
CGGGCAGGCGGUCUGUUAAGUCGUUUGUGAAAACCCGGGGCUCAACCCCGCGGAAUGCAGACGAUACUGGCAGACUGGAGACCGGUAGAGGCUAGCGGAAUCCCUGGUGUAGCGGUGGAAUGCGUAGAUAUCAGGAAGAACACCUGUGGCGAAGGCGGCUAGCUGGGCCGGGUCUGACGCUCAUCCGCGAAAGCGUGGGGAGCAAACA